GCUGAAACACCUCAGUUGGGAAAGCGUUAGACUGAAGAUCUAAAUGGCCCUCGAUCAAUCCUGGGUUUCUGCA
rnacentral:tRNA from 1 species